rnacentral:rRNA from 1 species
CUGUUCAGCAGUGUCUGGCCCGUCGAGGUUCGUCCUAGACGAGUGCUGACACUUUUAGCUGGGCAUCCUUGUGGAUCAAUGUUAUGCAUGUGCCUUCGGGUGUGUGCAUGGCUCCACAUCAUUUACUUUGAACAAAUUAGAGUGUUUCAAGCAGGCCUUCGAGCCGUGAAUACAUUAGCAUGGAAUAAUAACAUAGGACUUCUUGUCUUAUAUUUAUUGGUGUUCUCAAGCGGGAAGUAAUGAUUGAUAGGGAUAGUUGGGGGUGCUAGUAUUGAGCGGCCAGAGGUGAAAUUCUUGGAUUCGCUCAAGACUAACUUAUGCGAAAGCAUU